rnacentral:rRNA from 1 species
GAUUAACGCUGGCGGCGUGCAUAACACAUGCAAGUCGAACGAUUAAACUUAGCAUACUUCUUCGGAAAGACACUAAGCGGAUUAUUGUCGAACGGGUGAGUAACGCGUGAGUAACCUGCCUUACACAAGGGGAUAGUCUUUGGACACGAAGAAUAAUACCCUAUAAAACCAUACAUGCACAUGCUAGCAUGGUCAAAGUGAUAGCGGUGUAAGAUGGACUUGUGUCUGAUUAGCUAGGUGGUGAGAUAAAAGCUCACUAAGGAAACGAUCAGAAGCCGGCUUGGGAGAGUGGACGGGAAUAUUGGGACUGAGACAAGGCGCAGACACCUAAGGGAGGGAGCAGUGGGGAAUUAGGCACAAUGGGGGAAACAAUGAUGCAGCGAGGCCGCGUGAUUUAGAAGGCCUUGGGGUUGUAAAAAACUUUUGUAUAGGAAGAAAAUGACAGUACUAAACGAAUAAGGACCGGCUAAUUACGUG